rnacentral:rRNA from 1 species
UACGUAGGGUGCGAGCGUUAAUCGGAAUUACUGGGCGUAAAGCGUGCGCAGGCGGUGAUGUAAGACAGGUGUGAAAUCCCCGGGCUUAACCUGGGAACUGCAUUUGUGACUGCAUCGCUGGAGUGCGGCAGAGGGGGAUGGAAUUCCGCGUGUAGCAGUGAAAUGCGUAGAUAUGCGGAGGAACACCGAUGGCGAAGGCAAUCCCCUGGGCCUGCACUGACGCUCAUCCACGAAAGCGUGGGGAGCAAACAGG